AAACUAUCUACAGCACACACUUCAUCUGCACGGUUUGGAAAGCUAUAUAUUUUUGAAGCUAUUGGAUUGUUAAACUCAAAACAGUACCUUGUACACGCUGGGAAAUGCUGCCAUUGACGUCAACUAUUUCAGCAAUGUGCUGGUGGAAGCAUACAUUCCAUUUUUCUAUCAUCAUAGACACUUCAUUUUCUGAAUUCUACUGAGCUAAUGUUUUAAACUAAUAGACCUUAUUUCUCAGAGGAGUUUUGGGUUUAUAGGACAAUUGAACAGAGUAUGGAGGAUCCACAUCCUCAGCAUCCACCCAGCUUCCUGUCUUGUUAAUUUCCUAUGUUAGUAUAGGCUAUUUGCUGUGAUUGAUGAACUAUUAUCCAGGCAUGAUUAUUAACUAAAGUUCCCAGGAUUCAUUGAGAUUCACUUUCUGUGUUGUAAAAUUCUAUCAGUUUUGCCAAAUGCAUAGCUUCAUAUAUUCAUCAUUAUAGUGCCACACAGAUCAGUUCCACUGCCCUAAAUAUUCCCUGUGAUUCCCAGAUUCCUUCAUUCCUACUCUCUCCCAUGCCCUGGAAAUGACAGGCUUUUUAAUAUCUCUGUAGCUUUAAAAAUUCUUAAGUCAUACAUUUUUGCCACUGAAUAUCUCCUUUUAUCAAAACCACCCCCCCCAAAUUGGCUAACAUCAUUAUGGUGACAUUAAUUUCAAGUGCAACUCCUGUAUUUAGUUUUCCUAUGUUAUGUGGCUUUUUGAAAAAUCUAAUUUCAUUACAUGUUACUGGACCUUUUGUUUUCCUUAUAACAAAAAUAUAUCUAGACAAAACUGAAAAAAAUUCCUAAGGCAUAGUUAAGAAAUAAAUUUUAUAGGGUUGCUUACUCUUUGGCUGUAAAGAAAUGUAUUCUGAAGCACAGAGAUGAAGUAUGGUUCAGAAUUAUCUGUGUGAAGUCUUGGAUAGUUGCCAUGAAGUUUAAAACAGUAUAUCAUUCUAAUCCAGCUAAAGUGGGAGGGAAGUUAUAUUUAUGCAUUUAUAAUCGUAUAACAAGUGACUUACUUUUUGUCAAUACUGGAAAUUGUAUCCAAGGCAUAAUGAGCUAUAUUCCCAGCAUUUUCCAAAUUUUAUUUUGAGACUAGACUUAUCGAGAUUAGUUUCAAACGUGCCAUCCUCCUGUCCCAGUCUCCCAUGUAGCUGGGAUUCCAGGUAUGUUGAGUAGUGCUUUUUAAAAGCACUACAGAAAUGUUCUUGCUUUUCCUGAGGGCCUGGCUAUGGGUUGCUGGAGGGUUUCACAGUACCCACAUUGGGAGUUUGGUCCCCCUCAGUGCGUCUGAGCCUUAGUAACACUGUAACCUGCAGAGAAUCCACGGUUCCUCUUUAUCCCUCAGGGAGGCCUGCUGUAGAUGGACCUCCAGCCACAAUUCUGAUGUCUUUAUUCUUUGUGCUGACUUCCUUGAGGGCCCAGUCGCUCUCUGACUGUAUAUUAAUUUCUAUCUAACUUAGCUGCCUAUAGUCUUGGCCCAGUGUAGGAGACGGUACAUGCUGCGGAUCAUUAGGUUGGCAUAAUACCCAGUUCACAAAUCUGAAUGCGUAUUACUUUUGCACCAUUGUGAAGUUCAAUACUCCUAAGUUUGACCUUCAUAAGUCGAGCACUUUCUGUAAUCCAUGCUGUGUUCUUUCUGAUACAUGUAUCCACAGACCUCAUCCACUGACAUCCUUAUCACAAUCUUCUGAUCUUGUUCUUCCCAAGAACAUGAGCAGCCAUGAGGCCCAUAGGCCCUGUUUUGAAAUCCUUUGCAGUCCAUACACCAGGUCAUCUUUCCUUCUAAACGAAAGGGACAUUAGAUGUAUUGCUUCAAGUCCUACCCACUUAGAAGCUUCCCUUGACCUUUGUCUUUCACCUACCUCGUUUCACAGGGAGACCUUGCUGAGCAUGUCUGAUGCCAGAACUUGGGAGAAGGGUGUGUUAAAAUAAUGUACGCAUGGUUAUCAUUCCGUUAUGGUAAGCCCAACAGAUGAAGAGAUUGAAAAGAUAUUUUGUUAUGCAUGGUUCUCAAGAGAAGGAAGCAAGCAAGAGCAAGCCUGCCACACAAGGAAGCACUGAGUCAGACAAGAGGCAGAGGGACCAGGGGAAAAUGUGGAUUUGAGGCUUUAUUGUGCUUGCUGUUCAUGGGAAGGCUGCAUGAGGCAAAGUAAGUAGGUUCAGCAGAUUGACAGUAGAGUAGAUUGACUAAUCUCAGGCUCUGGAGAGUAGCAACUACCCCUAGUGUUCUGGCCCCAGCUCUGGGGUGAUUAGGACAGGGAAAUAAUGGUGAGAGCUUGAGAGUCCCCUGGGGGUCAAGGGGUCCAAACUGGUUAGUUUGAAAGACUUGCUUCCUGCUGAAUCAUUUAGUCUUCCUGCAGAUGGGCUAGUCUGGGGAGAGGUAAGCCUCGGGGUACAGAAAAUAAAAAGUCGUGGCUGCUGCUUGGGAGUCACAUAGCACCCAGCCUGUCAUGAGAAGCUUGCCUCCAAUAGCCCCUUGCUGUAGUGGGCCACUGUGAAAAGUGUAAGCAGAAGGGGACAUCGGUUGGACUACUGUUCUCCAGAAGCUUCACCCAGAAUCCUCACCCACCGCAAAACAGCUGGAGAAAGAGAACAAUCUGCAUGGGAGGUGUAGUGGUCUCAUCAGAGAAAACAAGGGAAGUCCUCCAGGUCCCAUUGACGUAGCCCUUGUGUCUCACUCUCUUGGGGUCCCUCCAUUCAAGUCUUCUACUAUAAGGAGACAGAGCAUGACUCGCUCACCUUGGGUCAGUUGUUC
ensembl:lncRNA